rnacentral:lncRNA from 1 species
AUAACAUGUCUUGGAGAAGGUCUUUUUGCAGUGAGAUAAGAGAGUGUUCUAUUAGCUUUAUGGACAUGUAUGUUCAAUUCCUUUCCAUGGUUUUGGGAGUUCUCAGAUAUUAUUUAUUUAAAUAACUAUCUGCUCCUUUCCUCCUCUUUUCUUUUUUCUGGCAUGGCAAUUGUUCUUAUAUUUGUCUUUCUGGUCAAAUACAAUAGCUCUUACAGCAUUUGUUGGCUUUGUUUAAAAAAAAUAAAGUUCACUUUUUAUAACUGAAUUAUUUCUAUAUUUCUGUUCUCCAAGUCAUCAUUCUUUCCUUUAUCUGGUUACCUAUACUCCCAGUGUAUUCUUCAUUUAUUGAAUUCUUAAGCUCCAGAAUAUCUAUUUGGAUCUUUUUCAUAAUUUUAAUCUCUUUAGUAAAGAACUCCUGUUCAGGAGUUCCUGUCGUGGCGCAGUGGUUAACGAAUCCGACUAGGAACCAUGAGGUCGCGGGUUCGGUCCCUGCCCUCGCUCAGUGGGUUAACGAUCCGGCAAUGCCGUGAGCUGUGGUGUAGGUUGCAGACGCGGCUCGGAUCACGUGUUACUGUGGCUCUGGCGUAGGCCGGGGGCUACAGCUCUGAUUCGACCCCUAGCCUGGGAACCUCCAUAUGCCGCGGGAGCGGCCCAAGAAAUAGCAACAACAACAACAACAACAACAAUAACAACAACAACAACAAAAAAGACAAAAAAAAAUAAAUAAAUAAAAAGAACUCCUGUUCAUUAAUGUUAUUCAAGAGCUUUCUUAUAGUUCACUGAAUUCUUCAUAGCAGCUAUUUUGAAUUUUUUAAACCAGAUCACAAUAUUCCGUGCCUGUGAGUUUGGUUGCUAGGGAAUUGUUUUCUCUUUUUGUUACCAUAUUUCCCUUAUUUUUCACAGUGUUUGAUUUUAUGUGUUUCUGCUUUCUCAAGUAAGUAGCAGACUAUUUUCUUAGUUAAGAUCCUAUGUUUAAUUUGUUUCUUAUUCAACAGUCUGGUAAUUAGAAUCUUUUCUUUUGUAUCCCAGAAAUGGCACUACAGAACAAGUUUGUGGUUUCUUCUACCUGAGCUAGAGCUGGUUCUCAGGAUUGUACUCUCUGAGCAUACAGGAGCUGGCAGCAGGGAUGGGGGGGUAUGGGCUUAGUACAUGAGGCUUUGUGGAUUAUAUGUGUAUCUGGCAGGGGGAUUCUUUAGUGGAAUACUCCCAGAGGUCCAUGGGUAGACCUCUUGCUGAAAUAUCAAAGGAGAGAUGCUUUCCUUCAGUGCCCUUUGAAAGUCUUGUCUGACUCCUUCUGUUUCCUUUCCUUCCCACCAGCCACUGAGGGCCCUCCUGGUAGAGAGAAAUGGGUUCCUCCACCUGCAUCCAGAACAGCUCGGACAGUCGGGUGGUCACACAACACUUUUCCUUUCUACCUUCUCUGCCAAAGAGGUAGCCUUUGAUGUCACCUGGGGAGCAGUGCUGACUUGACUAUUUUCUCUGUGUCUUCUGCCAUAAAACUUGUCUUUGUUCCUCUUGAGUGGCAUGCCAGAUUCCCCUGCCAGGCAGGGUGGACUUCCACCAGUUGUCUCUCAGCUGUGGAUACCUAUUCAGUUUUCUUCUCUCCCAGUUCCCCUUUUCCUAGUAGAAGUGGGUGAUGAUAGGGGCAGACUGACUCCAAGGAUCCAUCACCCCGACUGAGGGCUCAUCUAUCUGGUUUUGGAAGCAUAGCUGGGUAGAAAAUCCUGGGUGUCCUGUUAUAAUAUGCAAAGGAACUAUUUGGAUGUCUAAAUAGUUCCAAAUCAGAGGGAAGAGAAAAAAGGAAAAUGGCACAAGCUUCCAUAAUGCUGGGAACAAAAGUGACUUGUCUUUGAAUUUUCAAAAUCAAUAUUUUCUUUACUUUGUAUUAUGGAAAAACGUGAGAGAAUAAACUAAAUUAAUUUUCUUAUUGUAUAAAACAAAAGGACUUCGAAAGUAAAGGCAGCAGAUGGCAAGUUUGCUCUAUAGUGUAAAUAAACCUCCCUAAAGUUGUCCCACUUUAUGGAAAAAUGUAUCAGCAAAAUCUUUCUGUACAAGAUCCCUUGCCUUAAAUGAUCACAAACUGGAUUUGAAUGAGAUUCAGCCGGAAUAAACUAGGCAAGUUCAGAGUGUUAAGGAGAUAGAGAAGUCAUGAGAGACAGAGAAAACAAACACGUGGUUGCCAUGGUGUAGAAUAAGAGAAGAGCAGCCCCACAGCAAGAUGGCACCCUACUUACCAAAUGGUGAACUCGACAACUGAUCCAAGAGAACCACUUCUGUGGUUUGGGAGUGACUUUUAUUAAUUAUCCUUUGGUUUUCCCCCUUCACCUCUGAGCUCAGAUAUGCUGAAUAGGUUAAGGCAAAACAAACACUGCUUCUGAAACUAAUAUUGUCCCUGUCCUGAGAAUAGACAAGCUGAUAAAGUUUGGGAGAUAUAAUAUAUAUAAAUUAACUUAUGAAAAGGGUACUGGAAUUAAUAAAAUAACUGGAGGACAAAAAUAAAUUAACUUACAGGACUUAAGUUAGAGAACCUAAUGUGCUAUUAACAAGGCCUAACUAGUCUAUAGUGAGGUGAAAUCAACAAUAAAUCUUUUAAAUCUCACAACUAUUAGGAUUUGCCACAGCUGGGGCUGUGGCGUGGGCUGACAGCUGCAGCUCUGAUUCAGCCCCCAGCCUGGUAACUUCCAUAUGCCACAAGUGUGGCCCUAAAAAAAUAAAUAAAUAAAUUUAAAAAAGAUUUGCCACAACCAUUUUCCUGGGAUAUUUUCUGUAGAUAUUUAUGUUACCUGAUAUUUUAUGUCAUUUUUCAAUAAUUAAGUAUUCUAGAAGCCAGUAAUGAGUUACAAACAUAUAAUAUUAUAAAAAUAUUUACUUAGCAGAAAAGGAAUGGAGUGAAUUUCACCACACACCUAUUCAUAAUUGUUCAUAUAUAUUAUUUUAUAUUGAAAGACUGCUUUUAAAAAUGUUAAAAGCUAGUAGAUUUAUUUCUGGAUGUUAGUGUUGCUUGAAAAUAAAUUCAUAUAAUAUUUUUAUAUUUAUCUUUAAAAUGUCAAAUUAGUGUAAUGACUGAAGCAUUUUAAUAAUGAAGUAUCUUUUAUUAUAAUAUUUGCGUGUUGAAGAUAAAAAGUAGAUGACCAUUAUUUUUUUCAUAAAGCUUAUUUCAUCUUUUACACUACAAACUGGUAUAGUCUGAAGAAGUUUGUUGAGUUAAUUCAAGGGUGUUAAGAAUACUAUUGGUACUUUUAAGUAACUCAUGGAUCAUUUGUGGCCUAUCAUUUGCAGUAACAUAUAUUGAUGGCUUAGUUAUUUUUAGCUCAGUCACGGAAGUAUGCCUAAACCUCCUGGAGACUGUUGUCUAGGCAAUUCAGAAAACUGGCUUUAAGGUAAAAGGAAAUGUUGAUUUGGAUUCCCUAAGGUGCAUAGUAAAUUAUUAGGAUACUGAAUACGAGUGUAAUGCAUACUUUUCUGGGCUACUGUUAAGGUCUUUAACAUGGGGAAGGAGGUACUCAAAAUCAAGCACUAUUAGUUUAGCUAAUUAUUGGAAAAUAUGUACUUCAGUGCUAUUGCCUGACUUACUGGUUUACUUAAUAACUAGUUAGACAAAAUAAUUUAGACAUUCAGGUACAUGGCAGGAGUCUCUUGGAUCAAUAAAAGCUUGUCUGAAUAUAACUUUAAUAUUCCAAAUAAUAAUGUCACUUUGUGUAAUUGAUAACUCAGAGAAGGGAAUUUAAAGCCAUUUUAAGUAGAAUAGGAAAGGUGAAAAUAACAAACCCUUACUUUUUAUCAGUAGAAAUCUGAUUCAUGGAAAAGACUGAGAAACCAGAAAGGGAAAGAAUGACAUUAUGUAUGCAAUUUGUGUGGCUAGUACAAGAGAAUAAUUUUGCUAUCCAGAGACCAGCUUUCUGCUCACUUAUUAAUGAUGGCCUAUGGUAGGGAGGAUGCUUUGUUCUAAAAAACCAAACUUAUUGUACAAAUGAACCUGUAUAUAAAACUAUAUAACAAUAGGCCUUUAUAAAAUAUAAGAGAAUAUAACCACAGAUAAAAUUAGAUAAUAGUAUAAAGUCAUACGUAAGAUUAAUAUACCAAAAAAUACCUUAUCAGUUCCUAGGGUCCAUAGUUGCUAGAAGUAAGUAACAGAUUGGUAUUCUUUCCUUCUUUCUUUCUUUCUCUUUCCUUCCUUUCUUUCUUCCUUCCUUUCUUUGUUUUGAUUUUUGGGGCCACACUUGCGGCAUGUGGAGAUUCCCAGGCUAGGGGUUAGAUUGAAGCUACAGCUGCUAGCAUAUGCCACAGCCACUGGUGGGAUCUGAGCUGUGUCUGAAACCUACACCACAGCUCAAGGCAACGUUGAAUCCUUAAGCCACUGAGCGAGGCCAUGGAUCGAAUCCGCAUCCUCAUGGACACUAGUCAGAUUCGUUUCCACUCUGCCACAACAGGAACUCUGGUAUUAUUUAUAGGCAAAAACAAAAAAAAGAAAGAACAUUACUGUGUCAAGGAGUAAAAAUCACACAGUUCAUAAGAAUAGGCAUAAACCACUGUUAGAAUUGAAAGCAGAGAAAGCAGCCAAUGAAGGAUGUUACUAAUAUCCCUAUAAUAAACAUGGUAUCAAGUUUCAAUUGAGUGAUUCUUAUAUUGACCUGAAAUACAAGCUAAAUACAAAAUAAAUCAGUAAAUGCAAUUCUAAAAGUCAAGAAAACAAUGUUAUGUAUCUAAAUAGCUUUCUGAUUAUCUGGCUGGAUCUAAGGGAAGAUCUAAUAAAAUUCAUGUCUCUUCAGCCAUGUAAGGUUCUUGUUAACUUGUAGAUAUCAGGAUUUUAUUUAAAGGAGUUCUCUGGACCACAAAUCAUCUUAAACAUGGCUUUAGGUGAUCUUUCAUAAAUGCUGUAUGAGUUAGAGUUAUAUUCAGCUGAAAGUGUGAAAAACCUAAUAUCAUGGGUUUAAGCAAGGGAUAUAACGCUUGUAACAAAACAUGUUAGGAGAGAAGAAAGGGCAGUUCCUCAGUGUCAUCAAGGACUGCAGCCAUUCUAUCUUCUUGCUUUGCAAUCUUAAGCAUGUGGCUUUUACCUCCUUGACAAAAAAGUUUUCCCAUGCCUUCAAGCAUCGGAUUCAAGCAAAAAGAAAAGAAACACAAAGGAGUAAAGGAAGAAAAAACCUUAAUUGGGCCUUUUGAGAAAAGAUUUCCAAAAAGUGUCUUAUAAUUGUAUCUUCUUACAAUUCUUCUUACAUUUUCAUUCAUUCAAACUAAGUCAUUGGCUACUGAUGGAAGCAAAGGUGUCUGAGAAGGUAGACAUUUUAAACAAAGCAUGCUGCUGCUCCAAAGAAAAAUGGAAUUCUUUUACAAGAGAAGGAAAGAAUGGAAUUUGUUGGCAACCGGCUGGGUCUGUCAUAGACAUCAGUUAUUGAAUCAAGAUUUUAGAAAAAAUGGUCAUCAGACAGAUCAAGGCUAUAUUUUAUGAUAAGACUAUAAAGUGCAGUUAUGCCAUAUUUCCAAGUAAGGGUAUUGGAUAUGUAACUGAACAGAGAAGAACACUGAUAUCUUUUCAUGAAAGU